GCCAUGAGGUAUACUUCAGUGAAAAAUUCAAAGCUAAGCAGGGUCGGUCCUGGUUAGUACUUAGAUGGGAGGCCACAUAGGAAGACCAGGUGCUGUAGGCG
rnacentral:rRNA from 1 species